rnacentral:rRNA from 1 species
UACGGGGGGGGGUAAGCGUUGUUCGGAAUUACUGGGCGUAAAGGGCUCGUAGGCGGCCAACUAAGUCAUACGUGAAAUCCCUCAGCUUAACUGGGGAACUGCGUGUGAUACUGGAUGGCUUGGAUUUGGGAGAGGGAUGCGGAAUUCCAGGUGUAGCGGUGAAAUGCGUAGAUAUCUGGAGGAACACCGGUGGCGAAGGCGGCAUCCUGGACCAACACUGACACUGAUGAGCGAAAGCCAGGGGAGCAAACGGG